AGUCGAACGGUAAGUUGAGUAGCAAUACUUGACCUAGAGUGACGUACGGGUGCGUAACACGUAUGCAACCUACCCAAAACUGGAGUAUAGCUCGGGGAAACCCGAAUUAACCCUCCAUAAGAUCGUGGUAUAGCAUUAUACAGCGAUAAAAACUCAGGUGGUUUUGGAUGGGCAUGCGUCUGAUUAGUUAGUUGGUGAGGUAACGGCUCACCAAGACGAUGAUCAGUAGGGGAACUGAGAGGUUGAUCCCCCACACUGGCACUGAGAUACGGGCCAGACUCCUACGGGAGGCAGCAGUAGGGAAUAUUGGUCAAUGGAUGCAAGUCUGAACCAGCCAUGCCGCGUGCAGGAAGAAGGCCUUCUGGGUUGUAAACUGCUUUUGCCGGGGGAUAAAAUGAGCAUGCGUGCUUAAUUGAAGGUACCUGGUGAAUAAGCCACGGCUAACUACGUGCCAGCAGCCGCG
rnacentral:rRNA from 1 species